AAGGAAGGAAGGAGGGAGGGAAGGAAGGAAGGAAGGAAGCUUCCAUUCUUCCAUUGUAGCAGCAGCGUACACUGCCCAGCCCGGGCUUCGUUUCCACUUUCUGUGACCUGGUGUGGCGGUGAGUCUUACUCAGCGUGCUUGAGCCGAAAUGUCACCAGCUGCCCGCCGACCUGGGAUGACACCUUGGGCCGUUCUGUUUUCUCCCGUUCACCGGUCAAGACGCUGAAACUCGGGAGCUUUUGGCGGCCGAGCUGCGUGAAGGGACUUCAAGAGACGAGGAGACGGACCCCGUGGAAACCUCUCCCACCUGGCGAUUGUAGGGGAAGGAGCUUCUAUUCUUGACCCAGCCCACGACACGUGCCGGGGCUGUCAGCGCCGUGAGAGGCACCUGUGUCUCCCCGAGCUGAGGACGGAUGACAUUUGUACCUACAGGGGUAAAAAAAG
rnacentral:lncRNA from 1 species